CAUUUCAAAGCUAAGGUUAUGGGUGGCAAUUUAUCCCUAACCGUAACUUUGAAGUGCU
rnacentral:pre_miRNA from 1 species